AGCGUGAUAGAAAAAGAUAACGAUGUUGUUCGCGAUUUAUCAAAGGGCUCGCAUCUUGGCUCUUUUACACGGAAAUUGCAUAGACAUCUUAUCGUUGGUACUUCAUAAAAUUAGUACUGAGGACACCGCAGUCCUAAAUGUAUAAAGGUAAUUUAGUGAAUGGUACUCAGAACUCUGAGAUAGUUGAGUGAUAAAUUUCUCGAGAACAGUCUAAGGGAAACAGGAAUGCGUCAAAAGAGUUGUUUAUGUUUCUGCGAACGUAGGAGGAAGGACAAUGGCAGGCCACAUACGCAAGAACACCCCACGGGACCACUCUCGAGACACCGCGCUAGGCGUUUGAGGUUCUGACUUGCUCAUCGACAGUCUCUCAUCUUCUACGAAGACAUUAAAAAUUCUAGGUAAGUGUAGACAGGAUGUAAAACUCUGAGCGGCUGAUUAUAAUGACAUUUAACACCGAUUGCAAUUGAACGGUAAGAAAAGGUCUUGGCAUCACUAUAUAAACUUGGUAUUUAGUGGAGCUAUUGGAAAAAUAGAUGCCGUUCGCCGAGGUUCUCAUAAAGCCAUGGCGAUUGUUUAUUACCAACUUACAACUUUUGUUUCUUAUCUACAGCUGCAUAUAUCAAUUUCAAAAAAAAGUAAACAAAUGUUAAGAAAGGAAUAAACGACAUGGUUUAAAAUCCCAAAACAAAUUUCGGAGAGUUUUUUCAUGUUUGUCGUAUCUCGCCUAGGUGCUUGGCGUAACCUCCCUUUUAAGAGGAACUGG